GUAUAAAUACCAAUUCCAAAUGCAAAGAAAAAUAUUAUUUCUUGCAUUCUAAAUGCAAAGAAAAAUAUUAUUUCUUGCAUUGGAUCAGAUGGGGAAAAACAGGAAAGGAAAUAAGAAGGAUUAACAGUGAUAUCACAUUGCAUGACAAACAGUCAAGAAUACUUAAACCUAGGAUCUAUCAUUCUGCCAGAAAUUGCAUAUAAGUCUUGGUGCUGAUAAUGCCCUCUCCUGGUGAUGCUGUUGCAACUAAGUCUAAGUGUCAAUUAUUUCAAAGACCUACAUACAGAGCAUGUAGGAUAUAUGUACUAGAGUCACAGAGACUGAUCAGUACAAAAUGUCAUUGGCAAUGCCUUUUCCCCCACCUUACUCUAGGUAAAUUAUUUUAUAGAGGUAAGAGAUACCACAUGCUGUUUUCAUUCAUUCUUUUGUGUGUAUGCAUGUGUGCAUGUGCGCAUACAUACACUUGUGUGUUUUACCUCCUAAAUAAUGCUUUCCAUGUCAUCUGUAUAUUUAUGAUAGCUCAAAGACAUGGGUGUGUGGAUCUAAUUAAAAAUGUGAAAGGGUUUAGCAGCCUGCUGCUUUCCUGUGAGUCUCCUGUUGCCAACUCUUGGCAGCUCUGCUGUCAGUGAGCCAAAUGUUUAGUCUUCAGCUGAACUACUGCCAGGGUGUUGCUCUGCAUUCUGGGACAACAAAGCCUGGAGGAACUAUAUUAAAACUCUCUCUCAGAAGGAGAAUGUACAAUGUGCAGGACUUUACUCCCCCACAAGUAAAGUCACAGAGAAAAUCCACUUUUGCCUGUUGUACCGUAGGAACUUUCCAAGGAGAAAAAAAAAUAAAGAACCCCAGAAUUAUUUGCUGAACUUUCACAAGCUGCAGUCUAAUGACUAUGCUCAGGGCAUUAAGCUAUUAUUCUUAUGGUGGGGGAAAAUCAUUUCUAUCAUUUGGGAACAGAUCUUCUCUGUAAAAUUUCAAACAAGAUAAUUGUUCAUUGGUUUCAAAGAAGAUAAAUUGCUUUGAAAGAAAAACAAAAAUGGAGAUGUACAAAUUUUCAGAUAAAUAAGGAUUAGAGUUUGCAGAAUUCCCAAGCAAUUCCCUAAGCUAUUGUUCUUAUGGGGGGAAAUAUCAUUUCUAUCAUUUGGGAACAGAUCUUCUCUGUAAAAUUUCAAACAAGAUAAUUGUUCAUUGGCUUCAGAGAAGAUAAUUGUGGACUAAAUUGCUUUGAAUGAAAACAAAACUGGAGAUGUACAAAUUUCCAGAUAAAUAAGGAUUAGAGUUUUCCGAAUUCCCAAGCAACAUGGCCGAUGGAACCAAUAACGUCCAGAGGAAAUUUGAGAACGCAAUACUCAUUGCAUGAAUGCAAUAUAUAAAGGUAGUACUAGUCUUAAUAAUUUAUAAUGGUAUCCAAAUGGUCCCCUCCUGGUGGUGCAUUGGUUAGAAUGCAGUUUGACUCUGCCCAUUCUGAAUUCGAACCUGAUGGAUUUGAAGUUGACUCAGCCUUCUGAGGUUGGUAAAAUAAGGACCCAGAUUGCUGAGGGCAAUAUGCUGAUGUUGUAAACUAUCCAGAGAGUUUUUGAAAGCAUUAUGGAGUAAUAUAUAAGUCUAGCAGUAGCAAUAGCAUUUACACUUGUAUUGCACUUCAAAGUGCUUUGCAGCCCUCUCUAAGCAGUUUACAGCAUAUUGCCCCCCACAAUCUGGAUGGAAGGCUGAGUCAACUUCUAUUGCUCCUGCUGAGGAAAAAAAUAUGUUUCAAAAGAUUUCCAUGACCUUAAAAGUUUUUAAUUUAAUGCACUCUUAUAUUUUGUGCACCACCUAAAGUAAAUAUCUCUCUUGUUCAAAAGCAAGUCUGCCUCAAGGUCCUAGACUUCUCAGUAGUUUCCAGUUUUAUAUAAAUGUUUCCAGGAAAGGGAAGGAGGUGUUUGCAAUACAAGAGUGUAAAAUAUUCUGAGCACUGAACUAAACAACCAUGCUGGAAGGAUGGUAUUGAGUUGCAGAAUGUUCAAUGUUCCAACUUGCAAGAGAAAGUUGUUUAUUUGUUUUGGAUUCUUCCAAGUCAGGGAAACCUGAGGACAGUAUUAGAUUCUAUUUGCCAUUGGCUGUGGAUAGUUAAGGGGAGGAGAAAUAAGAAUGGUAGUAUGAGAGAGGCACUUUAAUACAUACUUGCUCCCUGUCUAAUAGGGAAAUUUACUGUUGUCUUUAAACUCUUUGAUCUAAGAAUAUUUUAAAUUAUAUGCAACAUAUGCUUUACAGUUAAUGUUGCUUUGAUAUUGAGUUUACAGUUUAUAAAAUAGGAAAACUAUCUUGAUUGGUUUAUUGAGCUUAGCAGGCAGAUUUUCAAAUGCAAAAAGUAUGUAUUAAGAAAAAAAUACCAAGUACGUUGUUGAUGAUUUUUAUCGUUGAUUAUGAGUUAUGUUAAAUACAUUGCUAUUGCUUUUUUUGCUAGAACCAGUUUUGCAUCUGUGCAGGAAAGCUUCAUGGUCAGGAUCACAUACAGUAGAUACCUCCUCUACUUUGCAGGAGAAAUUUCAGAGUAAAAACAUAAAUACUAUGAAGCCCUCAAGUUCAAGGUGGAGGAUGCAGAGCUCGGUUUCCCAAUCCUGAACUCUGACCUGUGAAUUUCACGCAGUACUAUUGCAGAAUAAAAGAACAAAGCUGAACAAAGAGCAUUUAGGAAAAAAAGCUGCCUGUACCUUAGCAACCACCAGCUGUAAUAAGGAAAGGCCAUGUGCAUGGGUCUUGAAAUAGCAGCAGUUGAAUUCAAGCAAUAAAUAAGAAGAAAAAAGAGACGUGCAUCAUGAAACAUGGGGCUAAACCUGUUUCUGCCUUUUAGAAUUCCAAAUCUUGCAUGUGGGCACACUCUGGCUGAGCCAGAAGGGAAAAAGAAUCUGAGG